UACGAAGGGGGCUAGCGUUGCUCGGAAUCACUGGGCGUAAAGGGUGCGUAGGCGGGUCUUUAAGUCAGGGGUGAAAUCCUGGAGCUCAACUCCAGAACUGCCUUUGAUACUGAGGAUCUUGAGUUCGGGAGAGGUGAGUGGAACUGCGAGUGUAGAGGUGAAAUUCGUAGAUAUUCGCAAGAACACCAGUGGCGAAGGCGGCUCACUGGCCCGGUACUGACGCUGACGGUGCGAAAGCG
rnacentral:rRNA from 1 species